rnacentral:rRNA from 1 species
UACGAAGGGGGCUAGCGUUGCUCGGAAUUACUGGGCGUAAAGCGCACGUAGGCGGCUUUCUAAGUCAGAGGUGAAAUCCUGGAGCUCAACUCCAGAACUGCCUUUGAUACUGAGAGUCUUGAGUUCGGGAGAGGUGAGUGGAACUGCGAGUGUAGAGGUGAAAUUCGUAGAUAUUCGCAAGAACACCAGUGGCGAAGGCGGCUCACUGGCCCGAUACUGACGCUGAGGCACGAAAGCGUGGGGAGCAAACAGG